UUGGCAAUAAAGACAUUUGACGUGUGAGCCUCCUCGCCGCCCACCCUCCCGUUCUCCCUCGCUCGCUCUGUUUCCGCGGUUACCAGUCGCUCUGCUUGGUUAUGCAAUGCACGCCGCUUUCAGGCUCCAAGACGGGACCUAUAACCACACGACUGCCAUCGGCUACGGACAGAGAACGACAGGGUGGGGUGCUCGCAGCCUCAGGUCGAUGAUCUGCCGAACCUCCAGAGGAGUUUGCGCGCAUCUGUAGCACUUCUACACCCACGGAAAAAGAAGCGCAAAAGAAGAAGGGAAAGAAAUUGCAGAGGAGGCAAAGGAGAGAAGGUAGGGGCCGAUAUUUGGUACAAAUGCUGAGAAGCCCCGAAUUUCAGAUGCUAAAAGGGUCGGACAGACAAGAGUGACAGAGGACAGAAUGAGAGUGUGUGACAGCAAAAGGAAGGGGAGAGAAAGGAGGGGAGACCGAGCUGAAGAGUGAUUUUUUUUAAGUAAGAGGAGAGAGAGAGAGAACAAGAAAGAGGGAGGGGGGGAAGCAGAUUUCUCCAAGCAUCUCUUGAAUGAAAGGUGUGAGGCAUUCAAGCAAAGAAUAAAAAAAAAUAAACAACAGAGAAAAGCUUAAAAGAAUAUAUGAAUGAGCGUGGAACAAAAGGAAGGGCUGGUGAUACAUAAGGCGGCUGGAAUACUGACACAGAAAGAGCGAGAGAAAGCCAGAGGGAGUGGGAGAGGGAGAAAGAGAGCGAGAGCGAAGGGGAGGGACGUUGGGGACUGAGAUUCUUGUCUGCGUAACGCACACGGCUCAAGGAGAUGCUGUUGUAGACUUACUCUUCCUCCUUUUUCUCUCUCCACCUCUCAAUUUCUCUUUUCUCCUCAUUUACGGUACCGGGGUGUCGGACGUUUGGUCAGCUGGCCCUCAUGUUGCCGCAAGCCCAAAUAUGCCUCUCCUGUGAUGAGCCCACAGCAUGCUGGAUCUCCCCCCAGAUCUCCCACGCCGUAGGAUAAGCACCCUGGAGACAGAGGUGGGCUGGUCAGAAUGGGGACAACCACAGUCAGUAUAGAGGAGGUUCGGGCGCAAGAGGGUAAAGAGGAACGAGAGGAGUCCAUCUUGGCCCUGCUGGGAAUCAUUGGCACCUUUUUGAACCUCUUCGUCAUCGUGUUUGUUUACAUCUACACUACUCUGUGAGAAGGAUCCACGUGGGGUGAGAGCAGGUGGAGGUGAGGGGCAAAGAUAUGACAGAAGGGUUGACACCUCACAGAGAAGAAUUUGGAAGAUGACACUUGGCCACUCAGGAAGUGACAUUUGCUCUUGAGCUCUGACCCUUUACGUAUAUAUAUAUAUAAAUCUGAAUGUGAUGGACGCCUGUUUAACGCAGAUCUCAGGACACACUGAGAGCAAUUCUUGGAUUUGUACCCUUGCAGGACAUGGUCAAGGGACAAGGGACCUUGAGUUUCCCCGGUGGUGGGAAUUACCUCGAGCACUGCCUGUCUUCAAUUGCACACGUAUGCAGAAAGAGCCUAUUGGUCACAAGAACAUCACAGGGUGACCGAAUGACCCCUUCCGAACUUAUCCACCAAUAGAAAGAGUCAUGCAAUAAAAAGGAAAAAUUGGAAUUCUGAAAUAUUUUUUUCUACUGAGAACAAAAGAGAGAAUGAGACACUCCGGGACCCAUCUGCAGGUUCGAAAAGCUGGACCUUGUGGGAACAGGCAGUUCGGUGACAUUUGGACACUUUUUCACUACAGUUCCUCCUCCUUUCUGACUGGUGGCGGGAAGAUAAACAGACAAAUAUGAGUGUGCGUGUGUGUUUUCUGUCUGAUUUGAGUGCAGUGUCAGACACGUUGUUUCGGUGCAAAGGAAAACGCUUUUGUAUCGAUACAUGAAUACAUACUAGAUGUACUGUGCCAUAGGGGAUCUAAUCAAUAAAAUGAUAUUCUAUG